AACGAACGCUGGCGGCAUGCCUAACACAUGCAAGUCGAGCGCCCGGAGCGAUCCGGGAGCGGCGCACGGGUGAGUAACGCGUGGGAACCUGCCCUUAGGUUCGGGACAACCGCGGGAAACUGCGGCUGAUACCGGAUGAUGCCCGAGGUGGAAACGCUUUGGGCCAAAGAUUUAUCGCCUUUGGAGGGGCCGCGUCGGAUUAGGUAGUUGGUGGGUAACGGCCCGACCAAGCCUUCGAUCCGUAGCUGGCUGAGAGGAUGGCCAGCCACACCUGGGACUGAGACACGGCCCAGACUCCUACGGGAGGCAGCAGUGGGGAGUAUUGGACAAUGGGGGCAACCCUGAUCCAGCAAUGCCGCGUGGGUGAUGAAGGCCUU
rnacentral:rRNA from 1 species